rnacentral:rRNA from 1 species
UACGGGGGGGGCAAGCGUUGUUCGGAAUUACUGGGCGUAAAGGGCGCGUAGGCGGUCAGAUAAGUCAGCUGUGAAAACCUCGGGCUUAACCCGAGCCUGCAGUUGAAACUGUUUGGCUGGAGUGUGGGAGAGGAGACUGGAAUUUACGGUGUAGCAGUGAAAUGCGUAGAGAUCGUAAGGAAGACCAGUGGCGAAAGGCGGGUCUCUGGACAGUUCCUGACACUGAGGCACGAAGGCCAGGGGAGCAAAACGGG